rnacentral:rRNA from 1 species
AUGAACGCUGGCGGUGUGCCUUAAGCAUGCAAGUCGAACGGUAAUCUCCCGACUUGUCGGGAGAACGAGUGGCAGACGGGUGAGUAACACGUAGGAAUCUACCUUAAAGUGGGGGAUAGCUGGCCGAAAGGCCAAUUAAUACCGCAUGUGAUCGCAAGAUCAAAGUCGUAAGACGCUUUAAGAGGAGCCUGCGCGCUAUCAGCUUGUUGGUGGGGUAACGGCCUACCAAGGCGAUGACGGCCAGCCGAUGUGAGAGCAUGAUCGGCCACAAGGUAACUGAGACACGGUGCCUACACCUACGGGUGGCAGCAACUGGGAAUAUUGCGCAAUGGGCGAAAGCCUGACGCAGCGACACCGCGUGUGGGAUGAAGUAUUUCGGUAUGUAAACCACUGUGGCAGGGGAAGAAUUUUGACCGUACCCUGCUAGAAAGCACCUGCUAACCACGUGCCAGAAGCCUCGGUAAUACGUGGGGUGCAAGCGUUAUCCGGAUUUACUGGGCGUAAAGCGUACCGUCGGCGUCCCGACAAGUUUUCUGUUUAAGCCUGAGGCUUAACUUCAGACAAGCAGAAAAAACUGUCGGGAUUGAAUCUGUUCGGGGUAGUUGGAAUUCUCGGUGGAGGGGUGAAAUCCGUAGAUAUCGAGAGGAACGCCAAUCGCGAAGGCAGACUACUAGAACAAGAUUGACGCUCAGGGACGACAGCUAGGGUAGCCAAGCGGAUUAGAGACCCGUGUAGUCCUAGCCGUAAACUUUGAAUGCUAGCCUCCUGACGUAAGUUGGGGGACGUAAGCUAACGCGUUAAGCAUUCCGCCUGGGGAGUACGACCGCAAGGUUAAAACUCAAAGGAAUUGACGGGGGAGCGCACAACCGGUGGAGCAUGUGGUUUAAUUCGAUACAAAGCGAAGAACCUUACCCAGGUUUGACAUCUAGCUGCACAAUCUUGGAAACAAGAUCUCUUUCGAAGGUGCUAGACAGGUGAUGCAUGGCUGUCGUCAGCUCGUGUCGUGAGACGUCCGCUUAAGUGCGGUAACGAGCGCAACCCUUAUUCUGUGUUAUAUAUGUCACAGAAGACUGCCCUUGUUUUACAGGGGAGGAAGGAGAGGACGACGUCAAGUCAGCAUGUCCCUUACAUCUGGGGCGACACACAUCCUACAAUGGAGCCGACAACAGGUCGCAAAGCCGCGAGGCAGAGCCAAUCCUAAUAAACGGCUCCUCAGUUCAGACUGCAGGCUGCAACUCGCCUGCACGAAGCCGGAAUCGGUAGUAAUCGCAUAUCAGCAGGUUGCGGUGAAUACGUUCUCGCUCCUUGUACACACUGCCCGUCAAGCCAGCAAAGUCGGCAACGCCCGAAGCGGAUGAUCCUAACUCGCAAGAGAUGGACUCUUCUACGGUGAGGUCGGCGAUGAGGACU